UAGUUGAAGCAGGUGGUGUGAGUUACCUGUAGUAGUAGUUGAAGCCGGUGGUGUGAGUUACCUGCAGUAGUAGUUGAAGCAGGUGGUGUGAGUUACCUGUAGUAGUAGUUGAAGCAGGUGGUGUGAGUUACCUGUAGUAGUAGUUGAAGCCCGGUGGUGUGAGUUACCUGUAGUAGUAGUUGAAGCCGGUGGUGUGAGUUACCUGUAGUAGUAGUUGAAGCAGGUGGUGUGAGUUACCUGUUGUAGUAGUUGAAGCCCGGUGGUGUGAGUUACCUGUAGUAGUAGUUGAAGCCGGUGGUGUGAGUUGCCUGUAGUAGUAGUUGAAGCAGGUGGUGUGAGUUGCCUGUAGUAGUAGUUGAAGCAGGUGGUGUGAGUUACCUGUAGUAGUAGUUGAAGCAGGUGGUGUGAGUUACCUGUUGAAGCAGGUGGUGUGAGUUACCUGUAGUAGUAGUUGAAGCCGGUGGUGUGAGUUACCUGCAGUAGUAGUUGAAGCAGGUGGUGUGAGUUACCUGUAGUAGUAGUUGA